rnacentral:misc_RNA from 1 species
UUUCCGUAGGUGAACCUGCGGAAGGAUCAUUACUGAGUGAGGGCCCUCUGGGUCCAACCUCCCACCCAUGUUUAUUAUACCUUGUUGCUUCGGUGAGCCCGCCUCACGGCCGCCGGGGGGCAUCUGCCCCCGGGCCCGCGCCCACCGAAGACACCUAGAACUCUGUAUGAAGAUUGCAGUCUGAGCAAAAACUAAAUAAGUUAAAACUUUCAACAACGGAUCUCUUGGUUCCG